GUUCGGAAUUACUGGGCGUAAAGCGCACGUAGGCGGCUUUGUAAGUUAGAGGUGAAAGCCCAGGGCUUAACCCUGGAAUUGCCUUUAAGACUGCAUCGCUAGAAUCGUGGAGAGGUGAGUGGAAUUCCGAGUGUAGAGGUGAAAUUCGUAGAUAUUCGGAAGAACACCAGUGGCGAAGGCGACUCACUGGACACGUAUUGACGCUGAGGUGCGAAAGCGUGGGGAGCAAACAGG
rnacentral:rRNA from 1 species